CACUUACAAAAAAAAGUUAACUUUUCUUCUGAGCAAAGUGGAAUUCCUAUAUUGGUGGACAGUACUGGCCUAAGCUAAAACCUAAAAUUAUUACUUUUUAAAGGUAAAUUUUUUUAAAAAAUUGAAAUUGGUCCAUGUGCCUGGGAUUCUAGUAACUGAUUAAUUUUUGUUUAAUUUGACUCUGAAUCUCUCCAUCCAGGCCACCAAAAUCAGGUUGUUUCAUCAUGUGCUUGGAUUAUUCUGGUUGAUAAUAUUCUGGAUUCUUUUAAUAGUCUCCACUUUUGAAACACACAGCAGGAUCUUUGCAUACAGCCCCAUUCCCUGGCUAUCGCAGCCAGUCAGAGAUCAUGCCCCACCCUGGAAGUGCUGCUGUGCGGCCUGCAUAAGCAUCUACCACUGGCAAUAGUAACAGUGACAGGCAGCGGUCAUAGCUGCUACCCUGUCUCUAGGCAACCUCCUCAUCUGGCCCAUCAGCCUAUUGAGUUUGGGAUUGUGGAGUACAAC
rnacentral:lncRNA from 1 species